GGUUAAGCGACUAAGCGUACACGGUGGAUGCCCUGGCAGUCAGAGGCGAUGAAGGACGUGCUAAUCUGCGAUAAGCGUCGGUAAGGUGAUAUGAACCGUUAUAACCGGCGAUUUCCGAAUGGGGAAACCCAGUGUGAUUCGUCACACUAUCAUUAACUGAAUCCAUAGGUUAAUGAGGCGAACCGGGGGAACUGAAACAUCUAAGUACCCCGAGGAAAAGAAAUCAACCGAGAUUCCCCCAGUAGCGGCGAGCGAACGGGGAGCAGCCCAGAGCCUGAAUCAGUGUGUGUGUUAGUGGAAGCGUCUGGAAAGGCGCGCGAUACAGGGUGACAGCCCCGUACACAAAAAUGCACAUGCUGUGAGCUCGAUGAGUAGGGCGGGACACGUGGUAUCCUGUCUGAAUAUGGGGGGACCAUCCUCCAAGGCUAAAUACUCCUGACUGACCGAUAGUGAACCAGUACCGUGAGGGAAAGGCGAAAAGAACCCCGGCGAGGGGAGUGAAAAAGAACCUGAAACCGUGUACGUACAAGCAGUGGGAGCACAGAGCAAUCUGUGUGACUGCGUACCUUUUGUAUAAUGGGUCAGCGACUUAUAUUCUGUAGCAAGGUUAACCGAAUAGGGGAGCCGAAGGGAAACCGAGUCUUAACUGGGCGUUAAGUUGCAGGGUAUAGACCCGAAACCCGGUGAUCUAGCCAUGGGCAGGUUGAAGGUUGGGUAACACUAACUGGAGGACCGAACCGACUAAUGUUGAAAAAUUAGCGGAUGACUUGUGGCUGGGGGUGAAAGGCCAAUCAAACCGGGAGAUAGCUGGUUCUCCCCGAAAGCUAUUUAGGUAGCGCCUCGUGAAUUCAUCUCCGGGGGUAGAGCACUGUUUCGGCAAGGGGGUCAUCCCGACUUACCAACCCGAUGCAAACUGCGAAUACCGGAGAAUGUUAUCACGGGAGACACACGGCGGGUGCUAACGUCCGUCGUGAAGAGGGAAACAACCCAGACCGCCAGCUAAGGUCCCAAAGUCAUGGUUAAGUGGGAAACGAUGUGGGAAGGCCCAGACAGCCAGGAUGUUGGCUUAGAAGCAGCCAUCAUUUAAAGAAAGCGUAAUAGCUCACUGGUCGAGUCGGCCUGCGCGGAAGAUGUAACGGGGCUAAACCAUGCACCGAAGCUGCGGCAGCGACGCUUAUGCGUUGUUGGGUAGGGGAGCGUUCUGUAAGCCUGUGAAGGUGUACUGUGAGGUAUGCUGGAGGUAUCAGAAGUGCGAAUGCUGACAUAAGUAACGAUAAAGCGGGUGAAAAGCCCGCUCGCCGGAAGACCAAGGGUUCCUGUCCAACGUUAAUCGGGGCAGGGUGAGUCGACCCCUAAGGCGAGGCCGAAAGGCGUAGUCGAUGGGAAACAGGUUAAUAUUCCUGUACUUGGUGUUACUGCGAAGGGGGGACGGAGAAGGCUAUGUUGGCCGGGCGACGGUUGUCCCGGUUUAAGCGUGUAGGCUGGUUUUCCAGGCAAAUCCGGAAAAUCAAGGCUGAGGCGUGAUGACGAGGCACUACGGUGCUGAAGCAACAAAUGCCCUGCUUCCAGGAAAAGCCUCUAAGCAUCAGGUAACAUCAAAUCGUACCCCAAACCGACACAGGUGGUCAGGUAGAGAAUACCAAGGCGCUUGAGAGAACUCGGGUGAAGGAACUAGGCAAAAUGGUGCCGUAACUUCGGGAGAAGGCACGCUGAUAUGUAGGUGAAGUCCCUCGCGGAUGGAGCUGAAAUCAGUCGAAGAUACCAGCUGGCUGCAACUGUUUAUUAAAAACACAGCACUGUGCAAACACGAAAGUGGACGUAUACGGUGUGACGCCUGCCCGGUGCCGGAAGGUUAAUUGAUGGGGUUAGCGCAAGCGAAGCUCUUGAUCGAAGCCCCGGUAAACGGCGGCCGUAACUAUAACGGUCCUAAGGUAGCGAAAUUCCUUGUCGGGUAAGUUCCGACCUGCACGAAUGGCGUAAUGAUGGCCAGGCUGUCUCCACCCGAGACUCAGUGAAAUUGAACUCGCUGUGAAGAUGCAGUGUACCCGCGGCAAGACGGAAAGACCCCGUGAACCUUUACUAUAGCUUGACACUGAACAUUGAGCCUUGAUGUGUAGGAUAGGUGGGAGGCUUUGAAGUGUGGACGCCAGUCUGCAUGGAGCCGACCUUGAAAUACCACCCUUUAAUGUUUGAUGUUCUAACGUGGACCCGUAAUCCGGGUUGCGGACAGUGUCUGGUGGGUAGUUUGACUGGGGCGGUCUCCUCCUAAAGAGUAACGGAGGAGCACGAAGGUUGGCUAAUCCUGGUCGGACAUCAGGAGGUUAGUGCAAUGGCAUAAGCCAGCUUGACUGCGAGCGUGACGGCGCGAGCAGGUGCGAAAGCAGGUCAUAGUGAUCCGGUGGUUCUGAAUGGAAGGGCCAUCGCUCAACGGAUAAAAGGUACUCCGGGGAUAACAGGCUGAUACCGCCCAAGAGUUCAUAUCGACGGCGGUGUUUGGCACCUCGAUGUCGGCUCAUCACAUCCUGGGGCUGAAGUAGGUCCCAAGGGUAUGGCUGUUCGCCAUUUAAAGUGGUACGCGAGCUGGGUUUAGAACGUCGUGAGACAGUUCGGUCCCUAUCUGCCGUGGGCGCUGGAGAACUGAGGGGGGCUGCUCCUAGUACGAGAGGACCGGAGUGGACGCAUCACUGGUGUUCGGGUUGUCAUGCCAAUGGCACUGCCCGGUAGCUAAAUGCGGAAGAGAUAAGUGCUGAAAGCAUCUAAGCACGAAACUUGCCCCGAGAUGAGUUCUCCCUGACCCUUUAAGGGUCCUGAAGGAACGUUGAAGACGACGACGUUGAUAGGCCGGGUGUGUAAGCGCAGCGAUGCGUUGAGCUAACCGGUACUAAUGAACCGUGAGGCUUAACCUU
rnacentral:rRNA from 1 species